rnacentral:tRNA from 1 species
UUGGCGAAUGCCAGAAGCGGCCAUGCAGAUCCGGCGUUGAAACCGUCGGCUGAUCGCAAUGCUGCGGACGUUCGUACUCGCCUCGGCCAAC